rnacentral:lncRNA from 1 species
UACUAUUUUAUUUUUAUUUGUAUUUUUGCUUUUUGCUGAGAAAGAUUGGCCCUAAACUAACAUCUACUGCCAGUCUUCCUUUUUUCCCUCCCCACAGCACCAGUGCAUAGUUGUCUGUAUCAUCGUUUACCAAGGAGAAGCCGUGCAGCAGAGGAGGGCCUUGAUUUGAAGCUCACUUCCAUCCGUUAAGAACGGUUUGGGGCAACUUCUGAGCCUCAGCUUUCGUAUUUACAAAUUAAUCAUUACCUACCUUUAAAGGUUUUGAAAUUAAUUUGAACUUAAGCUUUGGGCACAGGAUGGCUUAAUAAAUGUUAGGUUUCUUUCAGUAAUCUGAAAUAAUUUCCUUUGCAUAGCUCAUGUUAUUCUAAAUGGGACAGAUAUCUUUGGCUUUUUUUUUUUUUUGAUAGUUACAACUGAGUAAAAGACUCAAAAUUUGAGUAAAAAAAUGAUACGUCACCUUGUGUUUUAAAGAUUUGCUUCCAUCUCUUCAUGCCAUUUUAGCACUGCAGAUAGUUCAUUCCUGAAACUUAGAGCCACGCAGAGGGGACCCGAGGACCUCUGGGGCCGUGGGUCUUUAAAUCUUCCAUCUUUAGGGCGAUUAGGGCUAGUUAUUUAAUCUGGCUAUCUUUUUUUUCUUUUUUCUCUUUUUCAAUAUAGCCUAUUCUUGAGAUAAUUUGGGGCAAUUGAUUACUGUUGUUACACAGCCCAUAGAACAGCAGUUGUGUUUAUUGACAGGAGGUGCCAUCAUGAUGAAUGAAAAAUACCUGGAACUUCAAACAUUAAGUGUUUGCAGUGUUGGAUUGUAUAUAGGGUGCUAAAAGUCAGACAAUGCUCAUUUAUUCCCACACUUUGACACAACUCUAUGCCUAGAAGCAUCCAGCCCAGAAAUGCUAUCACAUCUAGUCACAUCCCCCUUCCAGCCAGAGGACCUCAAGAUGGUAUUUGUGGUCCCCCAACUUGGCCUCAGAAUCUGUCUCUGGGAUCUGUUUUAAAAUGCUGCUCUAUUCAUUGACAAAUAUCUACUGUCUGCUAGGCGUCUAAGAGUAUGACAGAAUAGAGAUGUUGCCACCAAGUCUGGAUUACCAG